CCCGAACGAAAGUCGGGCUAAUACCGCAUAUGGCCUAUGGGUCAAAGCAGCAAUGCGCCAGUUGAUGAUCCCGCGGCCCAUUAUUUAAUCCUAGUUGGCGGGGUAAUGGCCCACCAAGGGUACGAUGGGUAGCUGGUCUGAGAGGACGAUCAGCCACACUGGGACUGAGACACGGCCCAGACUCCUACGGGAGGCAGCAGUGGGGAAUAUUGCGCAAUGGGCGAAAGCCUGACGCAGCCAAUCCGCGUGGGUGAUGAAGGCCUUCGGGUUGUAAAGCCCUGUCGUGAGGGACGAAGUUCUGACGGUACCUCACAAGAAAGCACCGGCUAACCCCGUGCCAGCAGCCGCGGUAAUACGGGGGGUGCAAGCGUUGCUCGGAAUCACUGGGCGUAAAGCGUCCGCAGGUGGAGAGGAAAGUCGGUCGUGAAAGCCCGAGGCUCAACCUCGGAACUGCGAUCGAAACUUCCUCCCUCGAGUUCGGGAGAGGGGAGUGGAAUUCCUGGUGUAGAGGUGAAAUUCGUAGAUAUCAGGAG
rnacentral:rRNA from 1 species